AUUGAACGCUGGCGGCAUGCCUUACACAUGCAAGUCGAACGGCAGCACGGGUGCUUGCACCUGGUGGCGAGUGGCGAACGGGUGAGUAAUACAUCGGAACAUGUCCUGUAGUGGGGGAUAGCCCGGCGAAAGCCGGAUUAAUACCGCAUACGAUCUACGGAUGAAAGCGGGGGACCUUCGGGCCUCGCGCUAUAGGGUUGGCCGAUGGCUGAUUAGCUAGUUGGUGGGGUAAAGGCCUACCAAGGCGACGAUCAGUAGCUGGUCUGAGAGGGCGACCAGCCACACUGGGACUGAGACACGGCCCAGACUCCUACGGGAGGCAGCAGUGGGGAAUUUUGGACAAUGGGCGAAAGCCUGAUCCAGCAAUGCCGCGUGUGUGAAGAAGGCCUUCGGGUUGUAAAGCACUUUUGUCCGGAAAGAAAUCCUUGGCCCUAAUACGGGCGGGGGAUGACGGUACCGGAAGAAUAAGCACCGGCUAACUACGUG
rnacentral:rRNA from 1 species